CAGGCCCUACGGGGCGCAGCAGGCGCGAAAACUUUACAAUGCGGGAAACCGCGAUAAGGGGAUACCGAGUGCCAGCAUAUUAUGUUGGCUGUCCACAUGUGUAAACGGCAUGUGUUAGCAAGGGCCGGGCAAGACCGGUGCCAGCCGCCGCGGUAACACCGGCGGCCCGAGUGGUAAUCACUUUUAUUGGGUCUAAAGGGUCCGUAGCCGGUUUGAUCAGUUCUUCGGGAAAUCUGACAGCUCAACUGUUAGGCUUCCGGGGAAUACUGUCAGACUUGGGACCGGGAGAGGUAAGAGGUACUACAGGGGUAGGAGUGAAAUCUUGUAAUCCCUGUGGGACCACCAGUGGCGAAGGCGUCUUACCAGAACGGGUCCGACGGUGAGGGACGAAAGCUGGGGGCACGAACCGGAUUAGAUACCCGGGUAGUCCCAGCCGUAAACGAUGUUCGCUAGGUGUCAGGGACGGUGCGACCGUUUCUGGUGCCGUAGGGAAGCCGUGAAGCGAACCACCUGGGAAGUACGGCCGCAAGGCUGAAACUUAAAGGAAUUGGCGGGGGAGCACUACAACGGGUGGAGCCUGCGGUUUAAUUGGACUCAACGCCGGAAAACUCACCGGGGGCGACAGCAAGAUGUAGGUCAGGCUAAAGACCUUACCUGAAUCGCUGAGAGGAGGUGCAUGGCCGUCGUCAGUUCGUACUGUGAAGCAUCCUGUUAAGUCAGGCAACGAGCGAGACCCGUGCCCACUGUUGCCAGCAUGUCCUUCGGGAUGAUGGGUACUCUGUGGGGACCGCUGGUGCUAAACCAGAGGAAGGUGCGGGCUACGGUAGGUCAGUAUGCCCCGAAUC
rnacentral:rRNA from 1 species